rnacentral:rRNA from 1 species
CCCUUAGAUGUCCUGGGCCGCACGCGCGCUACACUGAACGGAUCAGCGCGUUUUCCCUUCCCGAGAGGGACGGGUAACCUGCUGAACCCCGUUCGUGGUAGGGAUCGGGGCUUGCAAUUAUUCCCCGUGAACCAGGAAUGCCCAGUAAGUGCAAGUCAUAAGCUUGCGUUGAUGACGUCCCUGCCCUUUGUACACACCGCCCGUCGCUACUACCGAUUGAACGUUUUAGUGAGGUACUCGGACUGAGCCUCAGAAGAUUCACGUCUUUUGUGCUGCUCGGGAAGAUUCCCAAACUUGAGCGUUUAGAGGAAGUAAAAGUCGUAACA